UACGGGAGGCAGCGGUGGGGAAUAUUGCACAAUGGGCGCAAGCCUGAUGCAGCCAUGCCGCGUGUAUGAAGAAGGCCUUCGGGUUGUAAAGUACUUUCAGUCGUGAGGAAGGUGUUAAGGUUAAUAACCUUAGCAAUUGACGUUAGCGACAGAAGAAGCACCGGCUAACUCCGUGCCAGCAGCCGCGGUAAUACGGAGGGUGCGAGCGUUAAUCGGAAUUACUGGGCGUAAAGGGCACGCAGGCGGUUAAUUAAGUUGGAUGUGAAAUCCCCGGGCUUAACCUGGGAAUGGCAUUCAAGACUGGUUAGCUAGAGUCUUGUAGAGGGGGUAGAAUUCCAUGUGUAGCGGUGAAAUGCGUAGAGAUGUGGAGGAAUACCGGUGGCGAAGGCGGCCCCUGGACAAAGACUGACGCUCAUGUGCGAAAGCGUGGGGAGCAAACGAGGGAUUAGAUACC
rnacentral:rRNA from 1 species